rnacentral:rRNA from 1 species
GACGAACGCUGGCGGCGUGCUUAACACAUGCAAGUCGAACGGAAAGGCCCUGCUUUUGUGGGGUUCUCGAGUGGCGAACGGGUGAGUAACACGUGAGUAACCCGCCCUUGACUGUGGUAUGACUUCAGGAAACUGGGGCUAAUACCGGAUAGGAGCUCCUGCUGCAUGGUGGGGGUUGGAAAGUUUCGGUUGUGGGGGAAGGCCUCGCGGCUUAUCAGCUUGUUGGUGGGGUAGUGGCUCAACGAGGCUUUGACGGGUCGGCGGCCUGAGAGGGUAAGCGGCAUCAUUGCGACGGUGAUACCGACCCUACUCCGAGGGGAGGCAGUAGUGAGUAUUACACCACGAUGGGAGGAAUGCUGCUGCAACGACGCCGCGUGCGGGAUGACGGCCUUCUUGUUGUCACCUUCUUGCGACGAUGACGAAGCGGGAGUGACGGUAGUGGGUAAAGAAGCACCGGCUAACUACGUG